GAUGAACGCUGGCGGCGUGCCUAAUACAUGCAAGUCGAGCGAACAGACGAGGAGCUUUCUCCUCUGACGUUAGCGGCGGACGGGUGAGUAACACGUGGAUAACCUCCCUAUCAGACUGGGAUACCUUCGGGAAACCGGAGCUCAUACCGGAUAAUCUAUUGAACCGCAUGGUUCAAUAGUGAAAGACGGUUUUGCUGUCACUUAUAGAUGGAUCCGGGCCGCAUUAGCUAGUUGGUAAGGUAACGGCUUACCAAGGCAUCGAUACUUAGCCGACCUGAGAGGGGGAUCGGCAAAACGGGAACGGGGACACGGUCCAGAUUCCUAGGGAGGGCGGCGGGAGGGAACCUUCCGCAAGGAGCGAAGGCCGAAGGGGGCAACGCGGGGGGAGGAAGGAAGGUCUUCGGAUCGAAAAAUUCGGUUAUUAGGGAAAAAGAAAUGUUUAAGAAACGAGGCACGGAUUGACGGUACCGAAUUAGAAAGCCACGGCUAACUACGUG
rnacentral:rRNA from 1 species